AGCCAAGAUGGUUCAUGUCAUACACAGUUGCAUCUUCGGCCGUAGUUUGUUCUUUAUUUCUUCCUUGGACAAGUUUUGUUCAGAGGAACUGGUUCUGCAGAUCUGAAGCACAUGCCGUCCCAGCAGCACCUCUGCCAGCUCCUCGUUAUACUGCACACAGCGGACAAAAUGUGAAGAAUGGAUUGACGCAAAGGGAAAACAGAAAUGCAAGCCUGCUAGUUAAGAGGGACAGCACGAAUUCCCAAGUGAGCCAAGUGAGAGGAAUCAAGUGGUUGAAAACGCGAGACAAGACACAGACGUGGCUCAGACGUGCUGCACAACUAAGAUGUAUAGAUGGAUUGUAUCCCCACCCACUAACACUGAGGGACAUUAAGUACUGAAAAAUGGCGGCAAUAAUUCUGAUAGGUAAGGCUUUCACUUUUAUCUCUCAUCAUUAAUCAGUGUAAAAUUUUGAAAUUGUGGUCUGGCUAUUUUCUACUUUAUUCACCUGCUACUUCACCAUUUCAUUCAUUCUCUGAAUUGGAAACUUCCUGCACAGACCACCAAAAGACGCAUUUUUGGCAGAAAACUAUGCCAUGUAGUUGCAGGCCUGCCAUGUACAUUUGUUCAGUUUUGACUGUAUUGACUAGUUAGACUACAUAUAUGGUUAACUUCUGAAAAUAUUCCUUCCAUCAACCUCUAUCACUCCCAGUGGCGCCUCCAGAAAUUUUUCAUAGGGGUGGCCAGAUGGGGCGACUUAAAAUCUUGGGGUGGCACACCAAAACUAAAAGCCAUCAUUUCAGGUUUUCAUUAUAUUAUUGCCAGUGUUGUUAAUAACGGCGUUAGGAUAUAUCGGCAUUACUAACGGCGUUAUUUUCUUCAGUAGUGAGUAAUCUAAUUAAUUACGUUUCUCAUCUUGGCAACGCUGUUACCGUUACUGAGGCAGGAAAGGCGUGUGUUACUAUACGUUACGAUGUUGGUUGACUGAUGCGAGAAAAGUGUGGAAAAAGACGGACUUACAGAGACAAGAGAGUAGAGCAGGAGUGGGGAGGAGGCAAGGAAGUGUGACGCCGUUGCAAACGAAAUGCUACUAUGCUCGGUGGCUCCAAUAAUACCUGACUGUAGCCGAUAGCAUACAAACUACGCCCACAUGAUGCUUCGGUAGAUAUCACAUAUAUACAGAACUAGAUGCAAAUGAUAGACACGGCGGCAUUAGCAACAUAUAUAAUAAAGAACUAGAUGCGUUAGUAAACAGCCGCCAUCUUAAAGCAGUAGACUUCUCAUGAAGGCAUUGUUGUAGAGAACCUUACUAGCGAACCUUAGUCACUUUUAUCUAAAAUGCUCCUAAAUUGUCAAAAUGUAUAUCUUUAAAAGAUGAAACAGUUUUAAAACUUACACAUGUCGAAAAUAGACAGAAGGGAACUAAUGCAAUAACGGGAGCAAUUUUAACAACUUUAACAGUUGAUUCACAACAUUAUAUUACUUCCACACAUAGCAAAUGUUCUUAUCUAGUUAUCGCAAUAUCCGCAAUACCCCUGUGUCUAGUUAAGUUUAGGGUAAAGAAUUGGGCUAGGGCCAAUUGUCCCAAAAACCCUUUAAACUUCAGAUUUUGUGACCUGUUUUGAGAAAGAAAAAAAACAUGAAAAUUAUUACCAAUUACUUUGUCAAGUAACUAAUUACUCUUACAUUCCGGUAACUGAGUUACUAACGCAAUUACUUUUUGGGAGAAGUAAUUUGUAACUGCAAUUAAUUACUUUUUUAAAAUAAGAUUAACAACACUUAUUAUUGCAGUAAAAAGGUCAGGGGAAAACUAUCAGAAAGACCUAAGGACACGGCUACUGAUAUACUUUGGUGGAUUGUGUAAUAUUUGAUGUUACUAAUAAUUUAAUGUGCAUAGUUCAUAGUCCAUAGUCCAUAGUCAUGGCUGUGCAUUUGGGAUGAAAUGCAUAUCUGAUGCUACAACAAUCUAACUAUAUACUGGCAAGCGGGGUGGCCAGUGGGGUGGCUAACAAAUUUAUAGGGGGGGCCGUGGCCACCCCCUGAUGGCGCCACUGAUCACUCCUUCUUGUAUGUUAGCAACUAGAUUAUAGUCAAAUGGUUAAUGGAGAGUGCUUUUAUUUACACCUUUUAUGGUGCCCAAAGUUCUUUAUAUUGGUCACAUUGCCCAUUCACGCACAUUGAUGCAUGCUUUUUCCCCUUUCCUGCUGUAUAGAUGCCUCACAAACAUUUUCAGACUCAUGACUUUUGAAAUUUGAGGAUAUAGUUAUUAAUUUAGACCGCGUUUUGCUCUUCUGUAGAAUUGCUUGCUGUGGUUUUAUGGUUGAGUAAGCCAUCUUUGGUUUCAGGGUUUGUCCUGUGUUCAGUCUUUGUUAUUCCUUGAGGUUUUGUGAAAAGGGUGGUUAGCUAUAAAGGCCUGUUGUGUUCCUAGAUUCAAGAACCUUUGGAAAGGUUUACUUCUGUAUGAAAAACUUGAGAUGGCUUAAACACUGGGAUCAGGGCUGUACACUAAGUUUUUCAUAAGGAGCACACUUGCUCGCAAAUUUAAAAAUUUAGGAGCACAAAAAAAAAAUUUAGGAGCAUUUUUUUUUUUUUUAGCUUAUAGUGCACUUUGUUU